rnacentral:rRNA from 1 species
UACGUAGGGUGCAAGCGUUGUCCGGAAUUAUUGGGCGUAAAGAGCUCGUAGGCGGUCUGUCGCGUCGGCUGUGAAAACCCGGGGCUCAACCCCGGGCCUGCAGUCGAUACGGGCAGACUAGAGUGCGGUAGGGGAGACUGGAAUUCCUGGUGUAGGCGGUGAAAUGCGCAGAUAUCAGGAGGAACACCGGUGGCGAAGGCGGGUCUCUGGGCCGUAACUGACGCUGAGGAGCGAAAGCGUGGGGAGCGAACAGG